CACGCGAUUAAUGGGCUUCCCACCCCAGCAGGCAUCGCAGAUGCAGUUGGAACCGCGGCCGCCCAUUGGGACAGGGUACAGAGCCUGAUGCGAACCUGUGAGCUCCUGGGUGUAGAUGACAUCCUUGCCUUGGAGCCUAGCAAUGCCACCAGAGGAGCCAGUACCUCGGAUGCUGCUGCUGGUGCAGUAGCAGCAGCUGGUGGUGGCCGCUGGAUGGACUGCCCUGCUUGCUGGCGGCAGUGUGUUGCUGUGUCAGGCGACGCAUGCCUGGGCCUUCGGCACUUUAAGGCUGCGGCCAGUGGCUCCCUCGACCUGCAACCCCUCGCGGCUGGUGAUUUGUUUAUCUCGGAGAAGUUGGUGAUGGAGCGCCUGAAGCAGCGUGGAAAGAUGGCGGACCCAGAUGCUGUUUCUUGCUCUAAGUUCAAAGCUGCAAAGGUCUUCGGGCGGCGUGCUGCAAACUAUGAUCGCCUUGGUGUCGCAGCAUUUGCUUGUAGGCAUGGCUUCGUCCCGGCCAUGGUGAGCCUGCAUACAGAGGAGGACUUUGUGUACUACGAGGUGCUGCUGGAAGCUCUGAAGCAGAGGAUGGAUCUGGCAUCUGUCAAGGCAGUGUUCCUGGAUGUCGCGUGCAAGUUUGAGGGCUACUACAAGAGGUAAGCUUUCUGGGGACACAAUGUGCACAUGCUCAAGUUAACCUGAGUUGACAGGCUGAGGUCUCCAUUUUAUAUCCAUCCCUGGGGUUGGUCAGGGUUUGGGAGUUUAGUCCCUUUCAGAUUUUAACUUGAGUUAAGCUUUUCCCCUGCGAAGAAGCUGAAUAUCUGUUGCCUUGUUUUCCACAGGAUCUAUGAGGAGCUGGACUUGCCUGCUGGUCUGCCCUUCGCCAUCGGACCAUGGCACAUCCGACCACACAAGCCUGAGUGCAAUGUCCGCUGCAACUCACGCUACAUGCCUGGACUGGGGCUCACAUUCGGGGACCUAAUCGAGCACCUUUGGGCAGACAAUCGGAGACACUGGUACAUCACGGCGUAUAUGUCCCCAGCUGCACGCCAGGACUUCAUCAACGGGCUGGUGAGUUUAAAUCUGGNNNNNNNNNNNNNNNNNNNNNNNNNNNNNNNNNNNNNNNNNNNNNNNNNNAGAGUCCAUGCUCAGCCUCAGCAUACUCCAAGAUGCUCCAGCGUCAACACGCGAUUAAUGGGCUUCCCACCCCAGCAGGCAUUGCAGAUGCAGUUGGAACCGCGGCCGCCCAUUGGGACAGGGUACAGAGCCUGAUGCGAACCUGUGAGCUCCUGGGUGUAGAUGACAUCCUUGCCUUGGAGCCUAGCAAUGCCACCAGAGGAGCCAGUACCUCGGAUGCUGCUGCUGGUGCAGUAGCAGCAGCUGGUGGUGGCCGCUGGAUGGACUGCCCUGCUUGCUGGCGGCAGUGUGUUGCUGUGUCAGGCG
rnacentral:lncRNA from 1 species